rnacentral:rRNA from 1 species
AUUGAACGCUGGCGGCAUGCUUUACACAUGCAAGUCGAACGGCAGCGCGGGCUUCGGCCUGGCGGCGAGUGGCGCACGGGUGAGUAAUACAUCGGAACGUGCCCAGCAGUGGGGGAUAGCUCGGCGAAAGCCGGAUUAAUACCGCAUACGACCUGAGGGUGAAAGCGGGGGAUCUUCGGACCUCGCGCUAUUGGAGCGGCCGAUGGCAGAGUAGCUAGCUGGUGGGGUAAAGGCCUACCAAGGCGACGAUCUGUAGCUGGUCUGUGAGGACGACCAGCCACACUGGGACUGAGACACGGCCCAGACUCCUACGGUAGGCAGCAGUGGGGAAUUUUGGACAAUGGGCGAAAGCCUGAUCCAGCAAGGCCGCGUGUGUGAUGAAGGCCUUCGGGUUGUAAAGCACUUUUGGCGGGAACGAAAAGGACUGUGCCAAUACCACGGUUCGAUGACGGUACCCGCAGAAUAAGCACCGGCUAACUACGUG